GUUUCCGUAGGUGAACCUGCGGAAGGAUCAUUAUCGAGUUUUGACUGGGUUGUAGCUGGCCUUCCGAGGCAUGUGCACGCCCUGCUCAUCCACUCUACACCUGUGCACUUACUGUGGGCUUCAGAUCGUAAAACGGGUCCCUUUACCGGGCUUGCGGAGCGUGUCUGUGCCUGCGUUUAUCACAAACUCUAUAAAGUAUCAGAAUGUGUAUUGCGAUGUAACGCAUCUAUAUACAACUUUCAGCAACGGAUCUCUUGGCUCUCGCAUCGAUGAAGAACGCAGCGAAAUGCGAUAAGUAAUGUGAAUUGCAGAAUUCAGUGAAUCAUCGAAUCUUUGAACGCACCUUGCGCUCCUUGGUAUUCCGAGGAGCAUGCCUGUUUGAGUGUCAUGAAAUCUUCAACCUGCAAGCUUUUGUGGUUUGUAGGCUUGGACUUGGAGGCUUGUCGGCCGUUCUUGGUCGGCUCCUCUUAAAUGCAUUAGCUUGGUUCUCUUGGGGAUCGGGCUCUCAGUGGUGAUAAUGUCUACGCUGCGACCCCGUGAAAGUGUUUGGGCGAGCUUCUAACCGUCUCAGUUGGAGACAACUUUAUGACCUCUGACCUCAAAUCAGGUAGGACUACCCGCUGAACUUAAGCAUAUCAAUAAGCGGAGGAAAAGAAACUAACAAGGAUUCCCCUAGUAACUG
rnacentral:rRNA from 1 species